GUAAAAAGGAGAGAGUUUUCUUAAGCUAAAACAAACAACUACCAGUACAUAAUGUAAUUACAGACAGUGUCAUAUUCCACAGUAAAAGGCCUCUGCAAGAGGAACACGUGGAACAAAACAGUUAUUUGCUGUUUAUUGUAUCUUUAAACUGAGUUCAAGCUCUCCUGAAUUUAAGUAGCAGUCGGUGUUGUUUGGAAAAAGUUCACCCUGGCCUGAGAAUCCUAGGAGACAAGUGCAGAAUUUCUGACCAUAUUGUCUGGAAUAUGGGAGUGACAGUUUUAGCUUCUUCUGUUCCAGAGAGAUGACUAGUACAGAAAUGGGUGGGAAAAUGACAUUUCUCAUCAUCUGAACAGCAAAAGGAGAAGAAAAAAGAAGAAACAACUUUGCCCAAAACUUCCAAGAGGCUUUGGGCCCGAUACUGGAACAUACAUGACUGAACAUAAUAUUUCCAGUAAAUCUAUGUGCAUCCAAAAAAGUACAGGCUACAACUGAAUCUUUGUUAAAGUGUUUCU